rnacentral:rRNA from 1 species
UGGGGGAUAUUGCACAAUGGGGGAAACCCUGAUGCAGCGACGCCGCGUGGAGGAAGAAGGUUUUCGGAUUGUAAACUCCUGUCGUUAGGGACGAUAAUGACGGUACCUAACAAGAAAGCACCGGCUAACUACGUGCCAGCAGCCGCGGUAAAACGUAGGGUGCAAGCGUUGUCCGGAAUUACUGGGUGUAAAGGGAGCGCAGGCGGACCGGCAAGUUGGAAGUGAAAACCAUGGGCUCAACCCAUGAAUUGCUUUCAAAACUGCUGGCCUUGAGUAGUGCAGAGGUAGGCGGAAUUCCCGGUGUAGCGGUGGAAUGCGUAGAUAUCGGGAGA